GUCGACACGGAACACGGUAAGAAUGGGAUCGUAAUUACAAAACGACAGCUCUUCAGGCGAGGCGCCGGGCGCGGCCGGGCGGAUGUGAGGCGAAGGCCAUGAAGGAGCCGCCGCUGUCUCUGCUGAGCCGGGGGUACGGCCGGGUGGCGCCGGCGGAAGAUGGAGGUCCGAGUGGUCGGGUGGAGGUGUUCUACGAGGCUCAGGAUUACUUCGACCGGAGGGCCCGGCUCCGCCUGUCCAGGAGCGGCCGGAUGCUGGGGGGGGCGGAGCCGGCACCCCCCAAGACCUACAGCACCAGGAGAGGGCCGCUCGUCCUGUUCUCCCAAGACAUGGCCCUGUCCUCCGGCCAAUCAGGGGCCAGCGACGAGAGGCGGCUCCGCCUGCACCCCCUGGGGGACCUGACGCGAGUCCUUUUAUCUCGCGGUGAAAAGCAGCUCAGAGAAGGCGGGAGCACCAACAGCCGCCACCCGCUGCUCCACCUGAGCACCAGCCGGAGUCCCCAGGAACGGUGGAGCCAAUGCCACCCACCCGAGAAUGAAGAGGAGGGUCCCUCAACCUCUCAAAGCCACCCUCUCCACCCAACCUUCUUACAGUACCGGUCUCGCCUCCUCCCCUCCCCCAGGCCCGACCGCACCACCCACAUCUACCUUCCACCAAUCCCAGCUAGAGCAGCAACUCACAGGCCUACAGACUUCAAAAUGAGCUUGGAGACAGGUGGUCCAGAUGAUCCACAACCAACAAAACCCACGAAAAGAGAGCAGCUGAGAAUAGUGGUACAGACACCGCAAGUUCCCAUGAGCCCCUUCACCAAGCUGAAGUCUGAAAAACAGGAGGAAAACGCUGGAAUGAUGGAAGACCGCUCCCAGGACACGUCUCUGCCACCUUUGAUCGGCUCUUCAGAGCCCACGUGGGGUCAUGAGAAACUCAGUCUGAAGACAGCCCACGUAGAUUCUUCAUGGACGAACAGCCGUCCCGCUAACAUCAGCUUCUAUGGGGGUCACAUGGUUGGAAACCAUCUAAGGAACAGUAGCCAAUCCUCAAGGCCGGGUGGACCUAAACACAGCGGGUGCAGAGAGGAGGCAGUGUCAGAAGCCAGCCUGUCCAUCCUGCAUCUUCCUCCCAUCCACAGAGGGGCAGUGGUGAGCUCAGGUUACGAGGACCACACCUGUGCAAAAACAGCUGACCACGCCCACCACCUGCCCUCCGUUCCCGAAGAGGCGCUAAUCACAGGCGAAAAAGGUCCCCAACGUCCUUGGACCCCACACACACCAGAGGUAUCAACAGAGAGACCAGCGGCAACGUCAGACACACCAGUUGCACCUCUACCAAGAGGAACAUUGCAAAGAGCAGAAGCGUCAGUAGAUGCACCUGCAACAGCUGAGAGACCAAAAGAUGUUGGGUGCAGCAAGAUGUUCUUAUUGCUUUCUGAACAACAAGAGGAUGAGACCCAAGAGUUGAAAAGUGGUUUCCGUGGCAGCCACACUAAAGAGAGGCUAAAAGAACUGAACCGGCCAAAGGAGGAACGGGAGGUUGGAGACCUCGGCUUUAGACUCGUCGGGUUUAACUACGACCACGUCAUUCUUCUGGAGCCGGGAGAAGAACACCCCUCUUCGCUGGUCGCCCUGCCCCCACUGGUCGGGCGGAAGGGUCCGGGAAAGCAGAGCUCGAUGGCCAUCUACAGACAGGACCCGCACGAGCCCAGUGAGGGCAGCCAAUCAGAGCCCAGCAUUGUGCGUGGUAGCCUUCCAUUGGAGCUUCGAGAAUGGCGGGAGGGCAGAGCCCUGGGCUGCCUGGUCCUGGGCCCCGACGGUGAAAUCCUCCAGCUGUCCCUGUGGGACUCCACAGCUGCUGACCAGGACCACCCAGUGCUGCGUGAUGUCACACGGGACCACGGUCUUCCCGUCAAUCUGGAGGUGCUGCCAUCAGAUGGAGAUUUGGACGAAAUGUGGACCGUCCUGCUGCACGCAGAGACCACAGAUCCACGGUAUUUGAUGGCAAAUUCAUCGUCUUUCGAAGAACGAAUAAAACAGGCCCCGGCACUGGCUGGACGUGAAAACUCCCCCUGGAAGCCUGAAGUUGCCCCCAACAAAGCAGAAACAUCUCAUUUCACGCCGGUUCCACCUAAGAUCGUCUUGUCCCACCAUGGGCGAACCAACAGGACUACGGCAACAUGUUCAAAAGCCCAAACUGCCGCCAAGAACAACCUGCAGAGAGCCUCUGAGGAGCAGCUUCAUGGUAAUCAGGUUCCAUCCCAUAAUGAUGUUCAGACAGCUGAGACCAGUUUACUGGAUCUAACCUGGACAGAUGACACGCUGUCCACUAGUCCAGAGGAGCUUCAGCUUAACGUCCUGCAGAGGAAGGAUGGUAACGGGUCCAUAGAGAUGCCCCCCGUGCUGGCAAGGAAACCAGAGCCACAGCCCAGUGGCCCCAAACCCCCAGGUUCAGCAGAGGUGCCAGUGAGAGUGAAAACCGGCCCACAAUCCACCGCGGGAUCUCCGAGGCACUCUGAGAAAUCCAAGCAGGGUGUAGAGACUGAGAGAACCCCAAGAAAUCGUGGGGGUUCCACCAAACAGGAGGCCACAGAACAUGGAGAUGGCACGGUGCAGAAGACAGGAGGGAGGUGGGGUGAAAAGAAAGGAGGAGCCCGGAGAAGAGAAGAAACAGUCAGGCUCGAGGAGAGAAAAGAAAAGACAGACAGGAAAGCGAGGAACAUGAAGGGCCUGGACCAUAACGAUGACGAGGAAAUUGGAGGAGAUCAAGGGACUGAAGAUACCAGAGCACCUGGCAAAGAGAAAGAAAGAAGGAUAAAAGGAGGGAGAGAACAACAGAAGCAGGAGAGUUCAUCGAAGGGCAUGGGUGCUGCGAUGAGGAACAGAAAGAAAAAGAACCGAGAUCGGGCCAAGUUCGUUGUGGGGAAGCCCCGCCCCCAACAGGAAAUUAGGGAAAUUAGACAGGAAACUCACCAGCUGGAAGUAGCUGAAGAGACGACUCACGAGGAAGAUGGGGAACUGAUGGCGGGACAGAAUGAAGAGGUUGAAGAAGAGGAGGACGGUGAAGAAGAAUGGAUGUGUCCACCACCCGAUGACAUCGCUGAGGUAGAGGGGAGCAGCCAACCACAGAGUGGGCGACCAUCGUCCCACGUCCUCACCUCACCCCGCAGCUCUGACUACAACUUCGACCACCGAUCGGCAUCAUCGUCGCGAGGUCAAAGUUCACACAGGCUGAGCUCAUUAACAGAGGCCACGCCCCCUUGCCCCACUCCCGCCUCUCUACAACCGUCCACUCCGAGCUUAGCUGCGUUGACGAGUGAAAGGCGGACACCAAAGCCUGUCAAAUCGGAGACGAGCAGCGUGAGCUGUCACAUGACCAGCAGGAGGUCUGACCAGCAGCAUGCAGAGGUUAAUAAAUCUGAGGACGCCACCCGGCAGCGGGAGCUGCGGGCGGAGAAGGCGGAGCACCGGCGCCAGGAGGUGGAGCGGAGGAGGAGGGAGAAAGAGGAGGAGAGGCUGAGGCAGCAGGAGAAGGAGGAG
ensembl:lncRNA uncharacterized LOC114796759